CCAUUUCGUUGUUCUUUCGGUCAAUCACAACAAUCCGGAACCCCGGACACCAUAAAAUCGAAAUGUUUCAUAAUAAUCGGUGUGUGGCAAGGUGUCAAACCCGAGGCAGCAGCAGCACCACCGGUGCGUCGUAAGGGAUGCUUGAGUGGCUCCGCGGAGUCCGCCAAAACUAGCUUGUUUUCUGCCGCCUGUUCAUCGUGUGGCUCCAGCCAUUUUCUGCUAAGAGAGACAUUUCUCGCGCGUGUGACGUCAAACACGUAAUCAGUGUAGGCAUUCAAUGUGUC
ensembl:ncRNA C18E9.14 ncRNA